rnacentral:lncRNA from 1 species
GUAACGAUCCUCAAAAUUUUACGUCAUAUUUCAUGUAAGACUUCCGGAUGAAACGAUAUAAAUUAUAUUGAAAAAUUUAUCGUGCAAAAAUAAUAAUUAAUUGAAUUUUUUAAAAUAAAAAAUGAGUUAGACGUCUUUUUUGAGAUGUACGUUUGAUACAUAUUUAACUAUUUUCGAUAUCCGUUUGGACCAUUUAAUAUGAAAACGACGUAGUUUUUCGAAACAAACUUUUACAUGGCAUAGACGAUUUGUGGAUUCAGAUAGCACAUGAUCGCAAACGAAUUUUUAAAGUUAGGAUAUUAUCGAAAUUCUCAAAAUACUAAUUUCAAACGCCCUACUUUAACAUGUCAUAACUUUUGCUAUAUUUGACCACUUCGCAUGCCAUUAAUGAGUGAAAAAUUAGGCCAUGAGUACUUCGAAAUGGUAUUAAUAAUGUAAUAUUUUCACCGAUAAAAAAAAAGAAUGCAAUAUUUUGACUUCAUUUGGUAUCCCGAUAAGUGCAUAAAAAAAAAGGGGGGGGGGAUUUUGUGGGGUCAUUUGACCCCACAUGACCCCAUAUGGGUCCGUCCCUGAAAGUAAGAAAAAUAUAUCCAAUGCUUAACGCGAAAAUCAUAGUUUUGUAAUAACUGGAUUAGGCAGAAAUAGUAGAGGAUCUACACACAUACACUAUGCAAUUACAACACUCUUUUCACACAACAUGGAUAAGAUAAAUACCAAAUAGACUAUUGUUAGGAAAGAAUUGCCCAGGAUAAUGAAAAAUAGCAAAACUUGGAUAUGGAUUUCACUAAGGAAUAAUGCGGCUCUACUAUGAAAUAAGAACAGAGGAUUAUAAGAAGAGUUUCAAAUAGGAGUUACAAAUGAGAUAUCAAAGUCUCUAUCUCUCUUAAAACAAAAAGAACAAACUCUAUCUAUCACAAAUCCUCACUUAGUGCUCAAUUGUUUUUGGUACACACUCCU